UACGGGGGGGGCAAGCGUUGUUCGGAAUUACUGGGCGUCAAGGGCUCGUAGGCGGCCAACUAAGUCGGAUGUGAAAUCCCCAGGCUCAACCUGGGAACUGCAUCCGAUACUGGAUGGCUUGAAUUCGCGAGAGGGAUGCAGAAUUCCAGGUGUAGCGGUGAAAUGCGUAGAUAUCUGGAGGAAUACCGGUGGCGAAGGCGGCAUCCUGGACCGACAUUGACGCUGAGGAGCGAAAGCCAGGGGAGCAAACGGG
rnacentral:rRNA from 1 species